CCCUUAGAUGUUCUGGGCUGCACGCGCGCUACACUGAAGCGUUCAACGAGUAUUCACCUUGCCCGGGAGGGUUGGGUAAUCUUUUGAAAACGCUUCGUGAUGGGGAUAGAUUAUUGCAAUUAUUAAUCUUCAACGAGGAAUUCCUAGUAAGCGCGAGUCAUCAGCUCGUGCUGAUUACGUCCCUGCCCUUUGUACACACCGCCCGUCGCACCUACCGAUUGAAUGGUCCGGUGAAAUCUUCGGAUCUGAGAGAUGUCUGAUUAAUUUCGGACGCCUUUUGGAAAAGUUGUUUAAACCUUACCAUUUAGAGGAAGGUGAANUCGUANCA
rnacentral:rRNA from 1 species